UACGGGGGGGGUAAGCGUUGUUCGGAAUUACUGGGCGUAAAGGGCUCGUAGGCGGCCAACUAAGUCGGACGUGAAAUCCCUCAGCUUAACUGGGGAACUGCGUCCGAUACUGGAUGGCUUGGAUUUGGGAGAGGGAUGCGGAAUUCCAGGUGUAGCGGUGAAAUGCGUAGAUAUCAGGAGGAACACCGAUGGCGAAGGCAGGUCUCUGGGCCACUACUGACGCUGAGAAGCGAAAGCAUGGGGAGCGAACAGG
rnacentral:rRNA from 1 species